rnacentral:rRNA from 1 species
CUCUUGACAUCCAGAGAAUUUAGCAGAGAUGCUUUAGUGCCUUCGGGAACUCUGAGACAGGUGCUGCAUGGCUGUCGUCAGCUCGUGUUGUGAAAUGUUGGGUUAAGUCCCGCAACGAGCGCAACCCUUAUCCCUUUGUUGCCAGCACGUAAUGGUGGGAACUCAAAGGAGACUGCCGGUGAUAAACCGGAGGAAGGUGGGGAUGACGUCAAGUCAUCAUGGCCCUUACGAGUAGGGCUACACACGUGCUACAAUGGCGUAUACAAAGAGAAGCGACCUCGCGAGAGCAAGCGGACCUCAUAAAGUGCGUCGUAGUCCGGAUUGGAGUCUGCAACUCGACUCCAUGAAGUCGGAAUCGCUAGUAAUCGUAAAUCAGAAUGUUACGGUGAAUACGUUCCCGGGCCUUGUACACACCGCCCGUCACACCGUGGGAGUGGGUUGCAAAAGAAGUAGAUAGCUUAACCUUCGGGAGGGCGUUUACCACUUUGUGAUUCAUGACUGGGGUGAAGUCGUAACAAGGUAAGCGUAGUGCU